CCUGCCCAGUGAACCAUUUUUUAACGGCCGCGGUAUCCUAACCGCGCAAAGGUAGCAUAAUCACUUGUCCCCUAAAUAGGGACUCGCAUGAACGGCCAAACGAGGGCCUAACUGUCUCCUAUAGCCCACCAAUAAACCUGAUCUCUCCGUACAAAAGCUGAGAUAAACACAUCAGACGAGAAGACCCUGUGGAGCUUUAAGCCAUGCAUCAACACUCUCAUUGACAGCACGCUUUCAGUUGGGGCGACUAUGGAGCAAAACAAAACCUCCACAACACUAUCACAACCCAGUAAGACCCACACGUCAAACCAAACGCAACGACCCAGUCAAACUGAUCACCGAACCAAGUUACCCCAGGGAUAACAGCGCCAUCCUCCCCAAGAGUCCCUAUCGCCAGGAGGGCUUACGACCUCGAUGUUGGAUCAGGACACCCAGGUGGUGCAGCCGCUACCAAAGGUUCGUUUGUUCAACGACUAACGUCCUACGUGAUCU
rnacentral:rRNA from 1 species